rnacentral:lncRNA from 1 species
UGUUGAUCCACGGUGUCAGAGGUAGAUGCUGGUGUGAUGGCAGUAGAGGUAGAACAUUCCCACCAAUACCCCAUUGCACUUUGCUCUUGUGUGACGGGUGGAAACAGAGGGGCAAUGGCAUCUGGCAUAGAAGUGUGUACAAGGCAAAGGAUUUUCACUGGGUUCCUUCAUGAAGAAAUAAUGGCACCCAUUGACAUUCACUGAUUAUUGCUGACUGCUGAUGGAGACCAAACAGUGGAUGUAAGCAGAGUGAGGCAGUGGGUGGUGGUUUUUGAAGUGGUCACAGGAAGAGACGGUAUUUCAAAUUUUUUCAGAUUCAGAUUUUUAUGAGCAUGGCAUGUAGGCUUUUGUUCAUAGCUGAUGAAAACGCAUAGCUAGUGGUGGUGACUGUGAUGAAAUAUAUAUAUAUACUUUCUGUAGAUGAGAAUUUGCUCUAUCAAAUUAUGUUAUUGUGUUCUUUGUAUCUGUAGUGCUUUACCCGGAAAUAAAUGAAAGGCAUUGUGUGUGCCCCGGUCGCGCAGUGGUAGGAAUGCCGUGUUGCAACACCGGAGGGCCCUGGUUUGAAUCCCCCCUGCGGCGCAAGUGUUAGAAGUGCCGCUCUGCUACACAGGGGCUCGAAUCCCAGGGGUUGGACUUGAUGAUCUCUAGGUCCCUUCCAACCCACACGAGACUGUGAUACUGUGAUACUUUUGGAGCAACAUAUAUAUUUUGAUUCUAAUAAAGCACACUGUAUUUCUACAUGCCAUCUUGAAUGACAGAACUUGGAAAUACAGACUGAAGUCUCCCUAGUAAAUGGAUUCUGAAAUGAUUGAAAUAAAAAAAAAACGGCACUGUACUGGAUACUACUGUCUCUCAGCAAAUUUGGGGCUAGAGGAAGGAAGGAAUAUGUACGAGUGUCCAGUUAGGCCAGAGUGUGUCUCGCCUUACAGGAAUAUCUGCAACAUCCACUUUGAAUUUAAUAAACUGCACCAUGGAUAACAGAAUGAGCCAAUGCUGAUACUUAUUCAAUAGGCUCACUUGAGGAACUUCAGCAGAGACUUUUCUUUCAGUAAAUGCAUCUGUAAUUUAAUUUUCAUGGAGGAUUUAAUAUAUUUCUUGAAACUGUCAUCAUACAUCAAAUAAAAUGUAGUCCGAUAGCA